rnacentral:lncRNA from 10 species
GCAGUAUUACAAUGAGGGAAACUUCAUGCAAGAUCAGUGCUGGAAUUCAUUCAUCUUGUCUUCGGCUGGCUGGAUCUGGUCUGUUUAUUGUUGGGAAUGCCAGAGUCUCACUUCAGUAACCUUGGAAGACAUCACUCAAAGAUAUAAAUGGCCCAAAGGACCUCAUUCACGCCUUCCACCAUGUGAGGAUGCAGUGAAAAGAUUCUUUCUAUGAACCAGAAGAUGGCAUUCAUCAGACGCUAAAUCGCUGGCACCUUGAUCACCAAUUUCCCAACCUUCAGAACUAUAAGAAACAACUUCCUGUUUGUAAGUAAUACAUUUCUGUUGUUUAUAAACCACCCAGUCUAUGCUAUUUUGUUAUAGCAGUCCAAAUGAAGUAAGAUAUCCUUUUUGCUACAAACAUACACACACACACACACACACACACACACAAUCUUAACUAAUCAAGAGUUUCAAUACUUACAAACAUUAAAACAAAAAUUUGAAAUUGACGACAUAUCCUGCAUAACAGUAACAAGCAUGUUGUCCUGUCAAUCACAACCCUACAGUGUAAUGUUCUUAUCCAAGUUAAGAAACAACUUUACCCUGAUUUUUUUAAAAUAAGGUACAAUUUUAAAGUUACUCGUAUUUAAAAUAUAUUGUCUUAUUUUUGUGUUAAUAAAGAUGAAUAUCAUGCAUUUAUUUUGAAAUAUUUGAUAACUAUAAUUUUAAUAUAAUUUGUUUCCUGUAUAAUUCUACAAAUUUUAUUAUGUGUAUUUAAACAUAAUAUUCUGAGAAAGAGUUCAUAGUCUUCACUUGACUUCCAAAGGGACUCAGAAAAGGUUAGGAACAACUGAUUUAGGCAGAGGGUAAAGAUACAAAAGAAAGUGGGUCAUAAUAUUAGGAUUUGGAAAACUCCAACAGUUAGAGGUCUAGCAGAAGACAGGUUAGCAAAUAAGACUGACAGACAGCAGCCGUGGG